UAUGCUGCCACCAGGGGUGAGGGAGAUGAUCUACCCAUCAUGCAUCUGGGUGCUCACGCCCACUUGUGAUGUCACAAAUGGAUCGAUUUUGAAACCACUGUGAAUGUCUUCAAGACUGCAGGCACCAGUUAACAUAUGGGGUAGGAGUGUGUGUGGAGGACACACAUACAUACAUAGGAGCUCUAAUGUCUUCUUGCACUAGGACGGGUUGCUGGUUCCAUUCUCUACCUGGCCUCCGCUAUGGGGUGUUAUUUGAGCACGACGCCCAAGCAGGAGUCCUGAGCACCGGAGCGUUUUUUUCAAAGUACAGUCACUGACUAGAGGCCAACUAGCCGCUGGAAGGAAGACAACAUGUUGAACCCCACACUUAAUUAUCUUCUCACCGGACAGCGUCUACCCUGGGAUGUGGCGACACCCAGUGGAACACUGGGCUCAGUUUACUUAAGUCAAGUUGAACCAACUCAGGAAUAUUUUUAACAUUCAUAUUUAUAUAGACACACACCCACACAUAUUUAAAUUAUCAUGAAAGCAUUGGCACCUGAGCUCUGCAAUCCAAAAUGUAAAUCAUCCAUCAGGUGUCAAUUGUUCGAUAUAAUCAUAGUUCCCCGUUUACUGGGAGUUGUGGUACAGAGUUGUGGUACAAUCUUAGUUUUUAGCGGAGCUUGGUUGGUGUUGGUCUGGUCUAACUCAUGUCUCCAGGUUCACUGGAGCUCUGGCCCAGCAGGGGACCGGUGAAGGUGGUGGAUGUGGUGGGGAAAGGAAGAUGUGGAAACAGGAUGGAUUUGAGGAGCAGUUUAAUCAGGACAGAGUUCCACAUCAACACAGAGAGAGGUGCGCUCUGUAGGAAUGUUGGCCAGAAGACUCAACGGAUGACAGCAUAAUAAAUACCACUGGAUUUAUUAUCACUGGAAAUUACUAAGUGCAAUGCUCCUCUUGUCAUAUACUCCCUGAAGGGUUUUCUAGAUAAUUACUCUAGCUAUAGAAUCUCUAGAUAUAGAUUUUCUAAGUUACGGGUACAGUAAAGGGAAACCUUUCUGGUGUUAGAAAACUUCCAAUGGACAGGUUUCUCUAGACAGUUUGAUACUUUAGGGGAAAUCUUUCUCUAGAAAAUAAGACACUAUUAAUCAUGAUCGUUAAAUUAUUCAAACAGGCGUCUCUGAAGAGUUAAAUACUUUGAAGAAAAAAGUAUCUGGAGAAGGCAACGGAUCAAUGUUAACAGGACCGAUCAUUCCAUAGCUCCUGACCGUAAAUAAUUAUUAAAUAAUUAAAACAGAGGCUUAAGAGCACUCUGGGAGGGCUAUCACAGUGAAGGAAUAACAGUAUCACCGACAUAUCUGAGCACUCGGGGAAAGAGAAGGCCUACCGCCCAGUGUAGAGGAGAAGGCCUACCGCCCAGUGUAGAGGAGAAGGCCUUCCGCCCAGUGUAGAGGAGAAGGCCUACCGCCCAGUGUAGAGGAGAAGGCCUACCGCCCAGUGUAGAGGAGAAGGCCUUCCGCCCAGUGUAGAGGAGAAGGCCUACCGCCCAGUGUAGAGGAGAAGGCCUACCGGUUGUUUGGGGAGUAGCAUCACAGAUGUACACUUCAAGUAAUUUCAGGUAUGUCAAAUAAACAAUCAAUAUAAAUCAUUAAAAAUAUUAUAGAUCUGUUUUCAUACCAAAUGAGGAACAUCUUUAAAGGAUGUCAUACAAAAGAUAAAAAAAACUUCCAGGAACCAUGGAAAUGUUUUGAUUGGCUGUGAAUGCUAAUGCUAAAUUAUGGGAUGUAGCAAGUCUGCAAACACACAAAAAAGGAACAAUUCAAACAAGCGACGGCAAAUAAAAUAGAAAAAAAUCAAAGACGUCUUCCAUCGACAGUACGGACUACAGUACAGACUGUGCUACAUCCCACAUCCUAACAGCGCUUCACUAAAAUACAUUUCAUGGUCCUUGCAUAUAGAAUUGUACAGCUACAUUUCAACCCAGGAAAUGUAGGCAGGCUUCAUGUGAAGUUACGAAACAUAUACAAAUAUAAUUCAUAAUAUAAUUUGUAUAAGAGAAAAUAAUUAUCAAAACUAUGGGGGUGACAUCACAUUCUAUAUGCUUUUGUAAAAGGGGGGUUCAGAGCUCGAGUAAGGAGGGGGGGGGGGAGAGGGGAGGGGAGAGAGAUGAGAACGAUGACAUCACAAAGGCCCCGGUUUAACACCACAUGUCACAUGACCUAACCAGUGGCUUCGUGAUUGGCCAUCAUUAUAACAAGUAUAAAACACACUGGACAUAUGGAACGGUUGCGGUACUGACCGCGUUGCCAGAUUGGGCCAGGUUGGACGGGAUAUCUCUCCCAAUCUGGCAACACUGCGCACGGACAUCCACGUGAUGGUGGCCAAAGGUUGCUCACAGUAAUGCUGAGCUCAGGGCGCCCUGACGGAGGGCGGCAGUGAACCGGUUCACAGAGUUCAGACCUCAAAUAUAAAAACACUCAAGUAAAACACCACAGGGGUCCACCACGACAUCCUCUCUGCCCCAGAGGGCACUUUCAGUUACCAAGAACGACUUGAAACACAUUACAGUGACACGUUAUAACAUCUGCUUAAAAAAAAACAAACAUGUUACCCUGCAUCACAAACGCUACCAGUGACGACGUUGCCUUAUAAAAGGUGGCGGUCUAGUGGUACCUCCCGGGGUAAGGCCUGGGUAGACCAGGAUGAACCCUGCUCUUCUCUCAGGUCCGGACCUGCCGCCGACCGCCUCUGAGGUCUGACGGAGACCCACUAGACUAUGAAGACACACUACAUUACCACACACACGCUAUUCAGAACCAGAAGGGGGGGGUGACUGGUUGACUAGGACCACUGAGUCGGUGCCACUAAGAAUAUCCAGACGGUUGAUUCGGGAAUCCUGAGGGGGACUUCUACUUUGAAGCCGAGCAACAGGAUGUGAGGCACCGCUGUUCACCUGCGGGGCUGUGCGUUUAUUCACCAUCUUCGCUGAUCGGUUAAUCGUGUACGGCAAAGAGCAGGGCAAGAGCUAGGAAUUAAAGAGCAGAUCUAGGACUUAAAGAGCAGUUCUAGAGCCAGGAUUCAAAGAGCAGUUUUAGAGUAGCAGGUCAGAGUUCGGAGUCCGGAGUCAAGCAGACUAGCUAACAGGUAUGUAAAAGUAAGCUAGCCGAAGUGUCUAAUGUGAAACACGGUGGAUGCGAUUGGCUGGACAGGCUGCUGUGGCGCUGUGUUCAUCCUUAUACCUACUCAACUACAUCAUCACUUAUCACUACGCCAAAGGUUAGCCCAGCUGUAGCUCCAGCGCUAGCCAACACUACAGGAAGGUUAGCCCAGCUGUAGCUCCAGCGCUAGCCAACACUACAUGGAGGUUAGCCCAGCUGUAGCUCCACCGCUAGCCAACACUAUAGGAAGGUUAGCCCAGCUGUAGCUCCACCGCUAGCCAACACUACAGGAAGGUUAGCCCAGCUGUAGCUCCACCGCUAGCCACGCUCCAUGAAGGUUAGCCCAGCUGUAGACAGGUAAUCUCCUUGACAAGCAUAUGAGCAGAAACACCAGCAGGAAGUGACAUCACAUCCACAGGUUUCUUCCUGUGCUCCUAUAGGCCUGAAGAGGUUCCAGGUACUGCUGCCGACCCGACAGGUCAUCUAAAUUGGCGUGUUCACACCGCGGCGCAGCUAGACAGGGGACCCCAUAGGCUCUGUGGCGCAGCUAGACAGGGGACCCCAUAGGCUCUGUGGCGCAGCUGGAGAGGGGAACCCAUAGGCUUUGAGAGUCAGCUGGACAGGGGACCCCAUAGGCUCAGUGGCGCAGCUAGACAGGGGACCCCAUAGGCUCUGUGGCGCAGCUGGAGAGGGGAACCCAUAGGCUCUGUGGCGCAGCUGGAGAGGGGAACCCAUAGGCUCUGUGGCGUAGCGAGACAGGGGAACCCAUAGGCUCUGUGGCGCAGCUGGAGAGGGGAACCCAUAGGCUCUGUGAGUCAGCUGGACAGGGGACCUCAUAGGCUCUGUGGCGCAGCUAAACAGGGGACCCCAUAGGCUCUGUGGCGCAGAUAGACAGGGGAACCCAUAGGCUCUGUGGCGCAGCUAGACAGGGGACACCAUAGGCUCUGUGGCGCAGCUGGACACGGGGAACCCAUAGGCUCUGUGGCGCAGCUAGACAGGGGAACCCAUAGGCUCUGUGGCGCAGCUGGACAGGGGACCCCAUAGGCUCUCAACCAGGGCCUCAUUAGGACGGGGGGGGUCUGGGGCCAGCGGGAGCAGGUCUGGACUCUGCUGAACUGAGGUACAUGGACUUCAUCUCGGAGCUCGUCAGUUAUUCUUCUUCCUUUUAUAAUAUUAUAUUCUCUUGGAGAUAAAAUGUGCUCUUCGUCUUCUGUACAAAAAUAACUUAGAAAAACACGCAGAGUGGCGAACUGUUCAGUAGACGAGAUCCUCGCCUUGACCUUCGACCUCCCGGGCGGGACAGCGCCCCACGGUCAUGUGACGCUGUCGUCUCCACGACGAUGUUGGCAGCUCGUGUGUGUGUGUGUGUGUGUGUGUGUGUGUGUGUGUGUGUGUGUGUGUGUGUGUGUGUGUGUGUGUGUGUGUGUGUGUUAGUGUGUGUGUGUGUGUGG
ensembl:lncRNA